rnacentral:lncRNA from 1 species
UUUUUUUUUUUUUUUUUGUCUUUUUGCCUUUUCUAGGACUGUUCCCACGGCAUAUGAAGGUUCUCAGGCUAGGGGUCUAAUCGGAACUGUAGUUGCUGGCCUAGGCCACAGCCACGGCAAUGAGGGAUCUGAGCCGCAUCUGGGACCUACACCACAGCUCAUGGCAAUGCUGGAUCCUUAACCCACUGAGAGACGCCAGGGAUUGAACCCGCAACCUCAUGGUUCCUAGUAGGAUUCGUUAACCACUGAGCCACGACCAGAACUCCCUACCAAACAGCUGAUCUUAAAACAUAGCUUAGGUUUAAAAAAGGGGAUGGCAGGAGUGAUAAGACAGGGUGUGGUCCCGUUCAUUUUAAUGAGUCUAAAACCAUUCCAUUUCAGUGAUAUGUGCCAAAUUGUUUUCUUAGUUCUCUGAUCAAAAACAAAACACACACCAAAACAUAUAUAAAUCCUAUACUUUCCUUCUUUUUUUUUUUUUUCUGUCUUUUUUGUCUUUUUAGGGCUGCACUCACAGCAUAUGGAGCGGCCCUAGAAAAGGCAUAAAGACAAACAAACAAACAAACAAACAAAAAAACAAAAAAUAAAUAAAUUCUGUACCUAGAGGCUCUUGGUUAGGACUGAUGCCUACCUGCAUCUUUACUUUCCCAGGCUUAUCUACCCUAGAAUUUCCUUUAAUCCAGGAACAGGAGAUAAAACCUGUGGCAAAGUCUACACUCAUUAGUUCUUCUGCAAGGUCCAUGAGCAGGGCCAAAAACAAAAACAACGAGAAAUUUAAAAAGAGGAGUUCUCAUCAUUACUCAGUGGAAAUGAAUCUGACUAGCAUCCAUGAGGAUGCAGGUUGGAUCCCUGGCCUCACUCAGUGGGUUAAGGAUCUAGUGUUGCUGUGGCUGUGGCUGUAGGCCAGCAGCAAAAGCUCCAAUUCGACCCUUAGCCUGGGAACUUCCAUAUUGCAUGGAUGUGGUCCUAAAAAAAUAAAAUAAAAAAUAAAACAAAAGAGAGGCUCAGCUCACAUAGCAAGGCAAUUAAACUUAAAAUAUAUACAUAAUUUGGAUAACACAUAUAGCGUCUUUCUUUAUAGACUGAUGGAAUAGAAACUGUUUAUUUUACUUUAGGGACUUGUUUCCCCAGACAAAUCUUCACUGAGGAUUUUCUGACUCCCUAAUCAGGUAACAGUUUUGAAUCCCAUAUUCUCUUACCAGUGGAGACCUUUUUUUGUUGUUUUUUUGCUUGUUUGUUUUUUUGUUUUUUUUGGUCACAGCAUACAGCAGCUUGAUGUGGGAUCUGAGUUCCCAGACCAGGGAUUGAACCUGGGCUGCAGCAUUGAAAGCACCAAGUAUUAAACACUAAACCAUCAGGGGAACUCCCAGGAAAUCGUUAGAGAUCUUUGGGGAAAAAAAAAAAAGAGGGAAGAGAGAGCUUUAAGGAAGGGAGAACUCCCACAUGGACCUUGAGAAGUGACCUUUAUUCUGCAGAUCACUUCACUGAAGGGCACAAUCCUCCCUGUCCUCACCAUGGACUGAGUUAUAGAUUCAACCUAAUAAAAUGCCCUUUCUAUAGGGAGCCAAUUAUUCCUCUGGGAAGUAAUGAGUCAGCAAGCUUUUUAUUGCAAAUUCUUUCU